rnacentral:rRNA from 1 species
CCUACGGGCGGCAGCAGUGGGGAAUAUUGGACAAUGGGGGCAACCCUGAUCCAGCCAUGCCGCGUGUGUGAAGAAGGCCCUCGGGUUGUAAAGCACUUUCAGUGAGGAAGAACGCCUGGUGGUUAAUACCCAUCAGGAAAGACAUCACUCACAGAAGAAGCACCGGCUAACUCCGUGCCAGCAGCCGCGGUAAUACGGAGGGCGCGAGCGUUAAUCGGAAUUACUGGGCGUAAAGCGCGCGUAGGUGGCUUGAUAAGCCGGUUGUGAAAGCCCCGGGCUCAACCUGGGAACGGCAUCCGGAACUGUCAAGCUAGAGUGCAGGAGAGGAAGGUAGAAUUCCCGGUGUAGCGGUGAAAUGCGUAGAGAUCGGGAGGAAUACCAGUGGCGAAGGCGGCCUUCUGGACUGACACUGACACUGAGGUGCGAAAGCGUGGGUAGCAAACAGGAUUAGAUACCCCAGUAGUC